GUCAUGCUAGAGCACUUUUUCAAUGGGCUCCCCAACGACAAGGUGACGACGCAUUCAUAUGUCAUCCAUAUCAACUUUCAAUGCCAUUUACUGUGCCUACCAUGGUGACCACGGGUAACGGGGAAUCAGGGUUCGAUUCCUGAGAGGGAGCCUGAGAAACGGCUACCACAUGCAAGGGAGGCAGCAGGUG
rnacentral:rRNA from 1 species